rnacentral:rRNA from 1 species
GGGACACGUGGUAUCCUGUCUGAAUAUGGGGGGACCAUCCUCCAAGGCUAAAUACUCCUGACUGACCGAUAGUGAACCAGUACCGUGAGGGAAAGGCGAAAAGAACCCCGGCGAGGGGAGUGAAAAAGAACCUGAAACCGUGUACGUACAAGCAGUGGGAGCACCUUCGGGUGUGACUGCGUACCUUUUGUAUAAUGGGUCAGCGACUUAUAUUCUGUAGCAAGGUUAACCGUAUAGGGGAGCCGCAGGGAAACCGAGUCUUAACUGGGCGUUAAGUUGCAGGGUAUAGACCCGAAACCCGGUGAUCUAGCCAUGGGCAGGUUGAAGGUUGGGUAACACUAACUGGAGGACCGAACCGACUAAUGUUGAAAAAUUAGCGGAUGACUUGUGGCUGGGGGUGAAAGGCCAAUCAAACCGGGAGAUAGCUGGUUCUCCCCGAAAGCUAUUUAGGUAGCGCCUCGUGAACUCAUCUUCGGGGGUAGAGCACUGUUUCGGCUAGGGGGUCAUCCCGACUUACCAACCCGAUGCAAACUACGAAUACCGAAGAAUGUUAUCACGGGAGACACACGGCGGGUGCUAACGUCCGUCGUGAAGAGGGAAACAACCCAGACCGCCAGCUAAGGUCCCAAAGUCAUGGUUAAGUGGGAAACGAUGUGGGAAGGCACAGACAGCCAGGAUGUUGGCUUAGAAGCAGCCAUCAUUUAAAGAAAGCGUAAUAGCUCACUGGUCGAGUCGGCCUGCGCGGAAGAUGUAACGGGGCUAAACCAUGCACCGAAGCUGCGGCAGCGACACUAUGUGUUGUUGGGUAGGGGAGCGUUCUGUAAGCCUGCGAAGGUGUGCUGUGAGGCAUGCUGGAGGUAUCAGAAGUGCGAAUGCUGACAUAAGUAACGAUAAAGCGGGUGAAAAGCCCGCUCGCCGGAAGACCAAGGGUUCCUGUCCAACGUUAAUCGGGGCAGGGUGAGUCGACCCCUAAGGCGAGGCCGAAAGGCGUAGUCGAUGGGAAACAGGUUAAUAUUCCUGUACUUGGUGUUACUGCGAAGGGGGGACGGAGAAGGCUAUGUUAGCCGGGCGACGGUUG